AGGACCUCUCCCGGAGGCGGGGCAGAGCAGCAGCUUCUCGGCCCUGUGCCGAGCCCAGGCCUGCACCCUAGGCAGGCACUGCUCCGUGAUCCAGGAACCACCUCUCUCUACAGCUGGGAGUGAGCAGUCAGAGAGGGAGACAGCCUUGCCCGGUGCUACCCAGCAAGCUAGUCACCGAGUGGGCAGAGGGAGGAGCGGCCCUCACCGGAUGUCAAGCAGCCUGGGUCCCCAGUCCAGCUCUGCCUGUCCCUCGCAAUAACGCCUCAGUGACGACCAUUUGUGAGCCAUCUCUCUGUCUCAGGCACGGUGCUACAUGCCAACGAAACCUGCUCCCAUUGAACCCUGGCCAGCCAGUGAAGAAAGGGUUGGGCCUGGGAGGUGCCACUUUACAGACAGGGGCACCAAGGGGCAGGGUGGCAGGAGGCCCACCGGACGUUCCCCAUGAAGUAGCAGUACCAGCAUCCACACCCAGCAGGCACCACGCUGGCCCGCAGCCUCCCUGCCAGCACGCCUGGCUUCCCGGCCUCGGAACUUGAUCUGCUCCCUCUUCCGGACACUGGGGCUCCUGCCAAGUCCUGGGCUGGGCAGCAACUGCUGAACAUUCUAAGAAAUCCCUCCCAGGGUUUUCUCAGGAGCCCGGGUGGGGCAGGAAGUCCCCAGGGGCUGAGGGGACCGUGGCGGCAGGUGGCACCCAGAGCAGCACUCUCCUGGGGCCCAGGCUGUUGGGCCAGAGGCAGGACUGUGAGGCCUAGUGUAGGGCCUCCUGCCAGUGGCCGGCACCUACUUGUGGGGCUGGGGGUUCCCCCAGCAGGUUGGGCUCCCCACCUGACACACUCACAGACCUUGUGCCUUGGAGAGCCAGUGUUCCCGGGGCCACAUAGCUAUGCCGCCCAGGGGCUGGGCCUGUCCCAGCUCUGGUCCCCCGGCCCCAGGUCCUGGACGCUGGCUCCGCGCAGCAGCAGGCGGCCUCCGGAGGACACGAUGUGACUGGCUGCCGCUACGUCGCACUCAGAUGAGUCUGCGCCGGAUCGACCUGCUGCCGAGUCCUGCCGGACAGGCACAGGCAGGGAGUGAAAAUUAUCUACCCCUUUUUAUUUCUUAAUAACUGAAUGAAAAUAAACAUUGGUGGUUUGACAAAUAACUACAUAUUUUCAAACCCA
ensembl:lncRNA LINC01978 long intergenic non-protein coding RNA 1978